CUGCAAUGAUGUCAUGAAUUUCUUCACCUGAAUACAACAUGAAGAUCAAUAAUGAGCUUUUUAACCCUGAGCACA